AUGAUAGAUCUGGCGCGCGGCGUGGUUGCGAUUAUUAUAUAAGGAUUCUGCAUUUUCUGUUGGGGGUUGGAAAAUCUGCUACAUUCAUCUACUUUCUGGUUUUGGAAGCUUUAAGAGUUGGAUGCAGACCUUCAUAGGAUAGCUUCAAGCUCCUCAAUAGCAUGGAAUCUCAAGCCAUGAAGUUAAAGCUAGGACGCGAUCAAAGCAACAUGAGGAGCUAAAUUCCUUGUGGAGGUAGGAUCUAGGAAAGCUUAGGAUGUAGUUGAAUCUCAUGUAAUCUGCUUAAUUGUAAGGAUUUACUCUGUUAACAGUGUUUACUUAAU
rnacentral:lncRNA from 1 species